rnacentral:rRNA from 1 species
GUGAGCAACCUGCCCCUGACUCUGGGAUAAGCGCUGGAAACGGCGUCUAAUACCGGAUAUGAGCUGCGAUCGCAUGGUCAGCAGUUGGAAAGAUUUUUCGGUCUGGGAUGGGCUCACGGCCUAUCAGCUUGUUGGUGAGGUAAUGGCUCACCAAGGCGUCGACGGGUAGCCGGCCUGAGAGGGUGACCGGCCACACUGGGACUGAGACACGGCCCAGACUCCUACGGGAGGCAGCAGUGGGGAAUAUUGCACAAUGGGCGAAAGCCUGAUGCAGCAACGCCGCGUGAGGGAUGACGGCCUUCGGGUUGUAAACCUCUUUUAGCAGGGAAGAAGCGAAAGUGACGGUACCUGCAGAAAAAGCGCCGGCUAACUACGUGCCAGCAGCCGCGGUAAUACGUAGGGCGCAAGCGUUAUCC